GGUUGAGGUUUUUAUCUUCUUGGUGGAAUAGUAUCUUUCCACCUUUAUGGAUUCUUCUAGAGACUGGUUUUCUAAGGGAGUGAUUAGGGUGUCUGAAAACGUUCUUUCCACCUCUAUGGAAUUACCCUUUGGUGGGGCCAAUUCCUCUAAAGAUUUUGUUAAUGAUGCUCUUUAAGGUUUCUCAGCAGUAGAGAUUUCUGGUGGGGAAUAUGGGGUCUUCGGUGGGUGAGGGAGUUGAGAUAUGGUGGUGCAGAAGUUCACAGAGUUGGGGGCCUUCACACCCUCCAUGGUGAUUAUAUUUCGCGUGAAAAUAUGAUGCGAGUGAGGUUUUAGAUGGCAGUUGACGCGGACGAAGGUUGACCCUCGAGGAGUUUGUGAAGAUGUGGAUGAGUUGGACGCCAUCUCCAAGAUUGUUGUCUUCUCUUUGCAAUUAUUUCAGGGCAGGGUUCUAAUCAAACAAUAAACAUUUUAAGUGUAAGAUUAUACUGCCUUGAGCGGUACCAUGUGUGUGUUAUAUAACGAUCAAGUGAAGUCUUCCAACCAUCUUUUUUUUUCCGCAUGAUUUAGCCACCGAGUUUGGUAUGGUCUAAUUAAGUGGUUAGGAUGAGAGUUGGUGUUUCC
rnacentral:lncRNA from 1 species